UAAUUAAGCGGAGGAAAAGAAACUAACAAGGAUUCCCUCAGUAAGGGCGACUGAAGGGGGAAGAGCUCAACAUGUGAAUCUGCGCCUUGGCGCCGAAUUGUGGUCUGUCGACUCUGGUGUUACUGGCCCGGCUAAGUCCCUUGGAACAGGGCAGCAUAGAGGGUGAGACUCCCGUCCGCCUGGCCUUUGGAACCAGAUGUCUCCGAGUCGAGUUGUUUGGGAUUGCAGCUCAAAGUGGGUGGUAAAUUCCAUCUAAAGCUAAAUAUUGGUGGGAGACCGAUAGCGUACAAGUACCGUGAGGGAAAGAUGCAAAGAACUUUGAAAAGAGAGUUAAAGAGUACCUGAAAUUGCUGAAAGGGAAGCGAAGGAAAUCAGUGCUUGCUGAGUCAUAUUUCUCACCCUGCUUGCAGAGUGAGCGCUGUGUCUUAGUGUGUGUCAGGCUUGGUUAGGCUUGUUGGAAUCGCGCAGUGAGAGUUGAUCACUGCAUGUCUGCAAUAAGCUUGACUGAGGUUGACAAAAUGGUUUUCUUUACCCCGG
rnacentral:rRNA from 1 species